GAAUUCGCCCUUAGAAUUUGAUCCUGGCUCAGGACGAACGCUGGCGGCACGCUUAACACAUGCAAGUCGAACGAGAGAAGAGAAGCUUGCUUUUCUGAUCUAGUGGCGGACGGGUGAGUAACACGUGAGCAAUCUGCCUUUCAGAGGGGGAUACCGAUUGGAAACGAUCGUUAAUACCGCAUAAUAUAAUUGAACCGCAUGAUUUGAUUAUCAAAGAUUUAUCGCUGAAAGAUGAGCUCGCGUCUGAUUAGCUAGUUGGUAAGGUAACGGCUUACCAAGGCGACGAUCAGUAGCCGGACUGAGAGGUUGAUCGGCCACAUUGGGACUGAGACACGGCCCAGACUCCUACGGGAGGCAGCAGUGGGGAAUAUUGCACAAUGGAGGAAACUCUGAUGCAGCGAUGCCGCGUGAGGGAAGAAGGUUUUAGGAUUGUAAACCUCUGUCUUCAGGGACGAAAAAAGACGGUACCUGAGGAGGAAGCUCCGGCUAACUACGUGCCAGCAGCCGCGGUAAUACGUAGGGAGCGAGCGUUGUCCGGAAUUACUGGGUGUAAAGGGAGCGUAGGCGGGAUCGCAAGUCAGAUGUGAAAACUAUGGGCUUAACCCAUAAACUGCAUUUGAAACUGUGGUUCUUGAGUGAAGUAGAGGUAAGCGGAAUUCCUAGUGUAGUGGUGAAAUGCGUAGAUAUUAGGAGGAACAUCAGUGGCGAAGGCGGCUUACUGGGCUUUAACUGACGCUGAGGCUCGAAAGCGUGGGGAGCAAACAGGAUUAGAUACCCUGGUAGUCCACGCCGUAAACGAUGAUUACUAGGUGUGGGGGGACUGACCCCUUCCGUGCCGCAGCAAACGCAAUAAGUAAUCCACCUGGGGAGUACGACCGCAAGGUUGAAACUCAAAGGAAUUGACGGGGGCCCGCACAAGCAGUGGAGUAUGUGGAUUAAUUCGAAGCAACGCGAAGAACCUUACCAGGUCUUGACAUCGUAUGCAUAGCUCAGAGAUGAGUGAAAUCUCUUCGGAGACAUAUAGACAGGUGGUGCAUGGUUGUCGUCAGCUCGUGUCGUGAGAUGUUGGGUUAAGUCCCGCAACGAGCGCAACCCUUACUGUUAGUUGCUACGCAAGAGCACUCUAGCAGGACUGCCGUUGACAAAACGGAGGAAGGUGGGGAUGACGUCAAAUCAUCAUGCCCCUUAUGACCUGGGCCUCACACGUACUACAAUGGCUGUUAACAGAGGGAUGCAAAGCCGCGAGGUGGAGCGAACCCCUAAAAGCAGUCUUAGUUCGGAUUGUAGGCUGCAACCCGCCUACAUGAAGUCGGAAUUGCUAGUAAUCGCAGAUCAGCAUGCUGCGGUGAAUACGUUCCCGGGCCUUGCACUCACCGCCCGUCA
rnacentral:rRNA from 1 species